ensembl:misc_RNA 7SK 7SK RNA
AGAUGUGAGGACAAUCUGGCUGCGACAUCUGUCACUCCACUGAUUGCCAGGGUUGAUCUGGCUGAUCUGGCCAGUCAGGCAGGUGUCCCCUUCCUCCCUCACCGCUCCAUGUGCAUCCUUCCUGAAGCUGUGCCCUUCAGGAAGAGCACAACCAUCCCCAAAAGAGGAGGACCGUUCUUCGGUCAAGGGUAUACGAGUAGCUGUGUUCCCCUGCUAGAAUCUCCAAACAAGCUCUCAAAAACUCACCCUCCGGGGAUUCCCGUUGUGGUGCAGUGGACACGAAUCUGACUAGUAUCCAUGAGGAUGCAGAUUCCAUCCCUGGGUUCCAU